AGGAAUUUGGGGAACAUGAUGGUGUGGAGUGUAUGGGUCCAGGUUGAAAGGUUGGCCAGGAGAACGGAAAACAGCUCUCACCUUGUGCCAAGAUGUCAGGAAUUGGAAACAAAAGAAUGGCUGGAGAGCCUGGCACGUCCAUACCUCCGGAGAAGAAGACAGCUGUGGAAGAUUCGGGGACCACGGUGGAGACAAUUAAGCUCGGGGGUGUCUCUUCAACGUGAAAUCAAAAGCAAGACUCAUCUGAGAGUGAGGAUGGGGGAGGAAGUUUGGAGGUUUGAAGAGACAGGAGAAGUCACAUUCAGCUGCGUGGAGGUAGGCCUGUGUGGAGUAGGUGCAGAGUUGGAUGUUACCAAGAUUGGGGUUUUUAACCAGGAGGAUUCAGACAUUCGAACACUGCAAGCCAAAAAUCGCAAGUUGGCAGAAAUGCUGGAUCAGCGGCAGACCAUUGAAGAUGAACUCCGGGAGCACAUUGAAAAACUUGAACGAAGACAGGCCACUGAUGACGCCUCCCUGUUGAUUGUCAACCGGUACUGGAGUCAGUUUGAUGAAAACAUCCGUAUCAUCCUUAAACGUUACGAUCUGCAGCAGGGUUUGGGGGACCUCCUCACAGAGAGAAAAGCCCUCGUUGUGCCCGAACCAGAACCAGACUCUGACAGCAAUCAGGAACGGAAAGAUGACCGGGACAGAGGGGAAGGGCAAGAGCCAGCCUUCUCUUUCCUUGCUACGCUGGCCAGCAGCUCCAGUGAAGAGAUAGAAUCUCAGCUGCAGGAGCGCGUGGAGUCCUCCCGCCGAGCUGUGUCCCAAAUUGUGACUGUCUAUGAUAAAUUGCAAGAAAAAGUGGAGCUCCUAUCCCGGAAGCUAAACAGUGGAGACAACCUGAUAGUGGAGGAAGCAGUGCAGGAGCUGAACUCCUUCCUCGCACAAGAGAACAUGAGGCUGCAGGAGCUGACAGACCUCCUUCAGGAGAAGCACCGCACCAUGUCUCAGGAGUUCUCCAAGUUGCAGAGUAAAGUGGAGACAGCUGAGUCACGAGUGUCUGUCCUAGAGUCCAUGAUUGAUGACCUGCAGUGGGAUAUUGACAAAAUUCGGAAGAGGGAACAGCGACUCAACCGACACUUAGCAGAAGUCCUAGAACGGGUGAACUCGAAAGGUUACAAGGUAUAUGGAGCGGGGAGCAGUCUCUAUGGCGGCACAAUCACUAUUAAUGCCCGGAAGUUUGAGGAAAUGAAUGCAGAGCUUGAGGAGAACAAAGAGUUGGCUCAGAACCGCCACUGUGAGCUGGAGAAACUUCGGCAAGACUUUGACGAGGUCACCACACAAAACGAAAAGCUGAAGGUGGAAUUGCGGAGCGCAGUGGAGGAAGUGGUUAAGGAGACUCCAGAAUAUCGCUGUAUGCAGUCACAAUUCUCCGUCCUCUACAAUGAGAGCUUACAGUUGAAAGCGCACUUGGAUGAGGCUCGGACCCUGCUCCAUGGUACCAGGGGGACUCACCAGCGCCAGGUGGAGCUCAUUGAGCGAGAUGAGGUUAGUCUUCAUAAGAAGCUGAGGACUGAAGUGAUCCAGCUAGAAGAUACCCUGGCCCAGGUCCGCAAGGAAUAUGAAAUGCUGAGGAUAGAAUUUGAGCAGACCCUUGCCGCCAAUGAGCAAGCAGGCCCCAUCAACCGGGAGAUGCGCCACCUCAUCAGUAGCCUCCAGAAUCACAAUCACCAGCUGAAAGGGGAAGUCCUGAGGUAUAAGCGGAAAUUGAGAGAAGCCCAGUCGGACCUGAACAAGACACGGCUGCGCAGUGGCAGUGCCCUCCUGCAGUCUCAGUCUAGUACUGAAGACCCUAAGGACGAGCCUGCAGAGGUGAAGCAAGAUCCCGAAGACUGGUCUGCUCAGUCCUCCGCAUCGAAGGCCUCUCAGGAGGAGGCCAACGAAAUGAAGUCCAAACGGGAUGAGGAAGAGCGAGAACGAGAAAGGAGGGAGAAAGAAAGGGAGCGAGAAAGAGAGCGGGAGAAGGAAAAGGAGAGAGAACGAGAGAAGCAGAAACUAAAAGAAUCAGAAAAAGAGAGAGAUUCUGCUAAGGAGAAAGAGAAAGGGAAACAUGAUGAUGGAAGGAAAAAGGAAGCAGAAAUUAUCAAACAAUUGAAGAUUGAACUCAAGAAGGCACAGGAGAGCCAGAAGGAGAUGAAACUGUUGCUAGAUAUGUACCGCUCGGCCCCAAAGGAACAGAGAGACAAAGUUCAGCUAAUGGCAGCUGAGAAGAAGUCGAAGGCAGAGUUGGAAGAUCUAAGGCAAAGACUCAAGGAUCUAGAGGAUAAGGAGAAAAAAGAGAACAAGAAAAUGGCUGAUGAGGACGCCUUGAGGAAGAUCCGGGCAGUAGAGGAGCAGAUAGAAUACCUGCAGAAGAAGCUGGCCAUGGCCAAGCAGGAGGAAGAAGCUCUCCUCUCUGAGAUGGAUGUCACAGGCCAGGCCUUUGAAGACAUGCAGGAGCAAAAUAUCCGCUUGAUGCAGCAGUUGCGGGAGAAGGACGAUGCCAAUUUCAAGCUCAUGUCAGAACGUAUCAAGUCCAAUCAGAUCCAUAAGUUACUCAAAGAAGAGAAGGAGGAGCUGGCCGACCAGGUUUUGACUUUGAAGACUCAGGUUGAUGCCCAGUUACAAGUAGUAAGGAAAUUGGAAGAGAAGGAACAUCUGUUACAAAGCAACAUUGGCACCGGGGAGAAGGAGCUGGGUCUUAGGACACAAGCCUUAGAGAUGAAUAAGCGCAAGGCAAUGGAGGCAGCCCAGCUUGCAGAUGACCUCAAAGCACAACUGGAGUUGGCUCAGAAGAAGUUGCAUGAUUUUCAGGAAGAGAUCGUGGAGAACAGUGUCACCAAAGAAAAAGACAUGUUUAAUUUCAAACGAGCCCAGGAGGACAUCUCUAGACUUCGAAGAAAGCUGGAGACCACGAAGAAACCAGACAAUGGACCCAAGUGUGAUGAGAUUCUGAUGGAGGAGAUUAAGGAUUACAAGGCACGCCUGACCUGUCCGUGUUGCAACAUGCGUAAAAAGGAUGCUGUCCUUACCAAGUGCUUUCACGUCUUCUGCUUUGAGUGUGUGAAGACUCGCUAUGAUACCCGCCAGCGCAAAUGUCCCAAGUGUAAUGCUGCCUUUGGUGCCAACGAUUUCCAUCGCAUCUACAUCGGUUGAUCUAAGCCAGGAGAAGAGGAGGGGCUGGCUAGACAGCACUUACUCAUUCACCAUCAAACCUCUACCUCUUCUCUCCUGGACUGUCGCCUGUGGGCACUUUGUCAACAGUUGUCCUUCACAGACUUUCCAUUGAGGUUCUCACUGAUAGCUGGAUGACAUCAGGGGAAAGGACUGCUGAGUGCAAGUCUUGGCUUAUAAAAUGAAUUACAAACAACUCUUGUCUCCUUCCUAGCCUUGUGUACUUCCUACUUUUAGGCUUUUCAACAUUUUCUUCUUCAGGCUCAUUCCACCUGAAGAAGUGAAGUUGGUAUAUUUGACAUGGAGAAGGAAAUAAAGAACAGAGGAGACACAUGGCCAUUUUGGGAGGGAGUAUGGUUUGAAGCCUUAAUGAAUUAUGUCCAGGAUGACUCGAUUCAUUUUUAUUGACCAGUGAAGUAACUUGUGAAGGUGAGCUGGCUUCCUUAUUGAAGUUUUGAAUUUUCUACACACAUUAAAGUCUUUAAAUUUCUUGAGGCCUAUCAAUUUCAGAUACUGUAGCCCUUUCUAUCUUAAAAUCAAGAUUGAAGAGGAUGGGGUCAGGACUGAGAUGGUGAAGAGGUCUGGGUACUCUGGGGAUGCCAUACAGUGAGGGGUAAGUGAGCUAUGAAUUUCUCUCAGCCUCUCCACAGGGAGAAUUUCUCUUAUCAACCUCUCCACAGAGGUUGUUGUGAUCCCUGUUUUCCAGAAGAUUCUCUCUAAUCUUCCUGUAGGACUUUAUAUAUUCCACAAGCUUCAAUAAAGCAGGAUUCAGUUUACUUUUAUAUUUUUCUUUGAAACUUUGUAUUUACCAUUAUUAGUUGAUUUACACCUGCUGUUACAGAAUUGAAUUCUGUUGAACAGAAAUCAUCAAUUUAGAAUAAAGGGCCUACUGUGAUUAAGUUA